UUCAUAGCCAAGUCAGUUUCUGAUACACUACAAACGUAGCUUUCGAUACCAGUGAAAUCUAAGCCUUGUUUGUAGUGUGUCAGGAACUGACUUGGCUAUGAACGAGCUUAGU
rnacentral:pre_miRNA from 1 species